rnacentral:misc_RNA from 1 species
AGCCGGUACAGUUUCUUCUGUAAAAUAUUCUUUCCUUAUAGUGUCCACUGAGCAAAAUCUCACCAGAGAUGCAUAGGAUUUUAUCAAGGGCUUGGCUAACUGCCAAAAUGGCUUAAAUAUGAAUGGAGCAUCCACAAAGAGGACUUCGCCCAACCGCCUUGGAUAAUAGUAGUAAAAUACAUCAAACACAAAGGUCAAGAACUUGAGAUCAGCAUUUCCAGUACCAAAGCCCCUGAGAUCAAAUACUCCUAGUAUUUCGUCUUUUCCAGCUGGGAGCUUUGCCAAUGCCUUCUCAACUAGAAAGACGCACAACUUCUCAUUCUCAACAGGUUCAUGCACA